UACGGGGGGAGCAAGCGUUGUUCGGAAUUACUGGGCGUAAAGGGUGUCUAGGCGGCCUUGUAAGUCGGGGGUGAAAUCCACUGGCUCAACCAGUGACGUGCCUUCGAAACUGCUAGGCUUGAGUAUGGCAGAGGAGAGCGGAAUUCCAGGUGUAGCGGUGAAAUGCGUAGAUAUCUGGAAGAACACCGGUGGCGAAGGCGGAUCUCUGGGCCUUACCUGACGCUGAGGCGCGAAAGCUAGGGGAGCGAACAGG
rnacentral:rRNA from 1 species